rnacentral:rRNA from 1 species
CACGUAGGGUCCGAGCGUUGUCCGGAAUUACUGGGCGUAAAGCGUGCGCAGGCGGUUGGGUCAGUCGCUGGUGAAAGCCCCACGCUCAACGUGGGAAUGGCCAACGAGACGGCCCGACUGGAGGCAGGGAGAGGCCGGUGGAAUUCCGGGUGUAGUGGUGAAAUGCGUAGAUAUCUGGAGGAACACCGGUGGCGAAGGCGGCAUCCUGGACCGGUAUUGACGCUGAGGCGCGAAAGCCAGAGGAGCAAACGGG